UACGGGAGGGGCUAGUGUUAUUCGAAAUGAUUGGGCGUAAAGGGCGUGUAGGUGGUUUUUUACGUUUUAGAGGUAAAUAUUGUAGCUCAACUACAAACAACUUCUUUAGACGGUUAAACUAUUAGAGUAUGAUAUAGGGUGAUAGAAUUUUUAGUGUAACAGCAAUAUGUGCGAAUAUUAAAAAGACUGCAAAUGCGAAGGCGAUUACCUGGUUCAUGACUGACACUGAUCCGCGAAAGCAUGGGGAGCGAAUCGG
rnacentral:rRNA from 1 species